UACGGAGGGGGCUAGCGUUGUUCGGAAUUACUGGGCGUAAAGCGCACGUAGGCGGACCAUUAAGUCAGGGGUGAAAUCCCGGAGCUCAACUCCGGAACUGCCUUUGAUACUGGUGGUCUUGAGUUCGAGAGAGGUGAGUGGAAUUCCGAGUGUAGAGGUGAAAUUCGUAGAUAUUCGGAGGAACACCAGUGGCGAAGGCGGCUCACUGGCUCGACACUGACGCUGAGGUGCGAAAGCGUGGGGAGCAAAC
rnacentral:rRNA from 1 species